rnacentral:lncRNA from 1 species
AUGAACACCCACAACUUGCAAGAACUCUCAAAGCAUUUCCAGGAGCAAUCUGAUCGUCAAGGCAGCCUCCAAACUAGAGCCUUCCGGUAAAUUGUACCUACGCUUACUUAAGUGAAUACGGCUGAGUUAUUAUAAUUCUUGCUACUUAAGACAGGAGCUAGCUCAGGUAAAUACUCUUAACUUAUUUUCCCUAUUACGGGCUUGGGAUACGGUAAUAUAAAUACCGCAUGGUCAGGUAUGGGAUUCGAAGACCAAUGUGUCGGGAAAUCCAAAUAACCUGUUUUUAAUUCGUAUUGCUUGACUGAAACAUUGGGGGUUAAUGCGACCGUGUCCUGGAUAUCCUUGACUCAUUAAAUGUAAUGGCCACGACCUAAGCACGGGGUGUAGGCAUACACCUGACAGAUGCUUUAUGCUUAUAAAUUGAUUAUACCCAAUAAGGGAUUCCCAAUAAGGGAAUAGUGGUGUGUCGGUUAAUCUUGAACCGGCAUAGGACCGGGCCCCGCAUGUAGAGCAAGUUAUGUAAAACUGAUAACAUGAGAUAUAGUUUGUCCCAAGUAUAAAAGAUUAAUCUUGCCUUGUGCAUCUUAAUCAAGUGUCAAAAAUAGUUUUGUGCCUUGU